rnacentral:rRNA from 1 species
GGGUUGUGAGGUUAAGCGACUAAGCGUACACGGUGGAUGCCCUGGCAGUCAGAGGCGAUGAAGGACGUGCUAAUCUGCGAAAAGCGUCGGUAAGGUGAUAUGAACCGUUACAGCCGGCGAUGUCCGAAUGGGGAAACCCAGUGUGAUUCGUCACACUAUCGUUAACUGAAUACAUAGGUUAACGAGGCGAACCGGGGGAACUGAAACAUCUAAGUACCCCGAGGAAAAGAAAUCAACCGAGAUUCCCCCAGUAGCGGCGAGCGAACGGGGAGCAGCCCAGAGUCUGAAUCAGCUUGUGUGUUAGUGGAACGGUCUGGAAAGUCCGACGGUACAGGGUGAUAGUCCCGUACACCAAAAUGCACAGGCUGUGAACUCGAAGAGUAGGGCGGGACACGUGGUAUCCUGUCUGAAUAUGGGGGGACCAUCCUCCAAGGCUAAAUACUCCUGACUGACCGAUAGUGAACCAGUACCGUGAGGGAAAGGCGAAAAGAACCCCGGCGAGGGGAGUGAAAAAGAACCUGAAACCGUGUACGUACAAGCAGUGGGAGCACCUUCGGGUGUGACUGCGUACCUUUUGUAUAAUGGGUCAGCGACUUAUAUUCUGUAGCAAGGUUAACCGUAUAGGGGAGCCGCAGGGAAACCGAGUCUUAACUGGGCGUUAAGUUGCAGGGUAUAGACCCGAAACCCGGUGAUCUAGCCAUGGGCAGGUUGAAGGUUGGGUAACACUAACUGGAGGACCGAACCGACUAAUGUUGAAAAAUUAGCGGAUGACUUGUGGCUGGGGGUGAAAGGCCAAUCAAACCGGGAGAUAGCUGGUUCUCCCCGAAAGCUAUUUAGGUAGCGCCUCGUGAACUCAUCUUCGGGGGUAGAGCACUGUUUCGGCUAGGGGGUCAUCCCGACUUACCAACCCGAUGCAAACUACGAAUACCGAAGAAUGUUAUCACGGGAGACACACGGCGGGUGCUAACGUCCGUCGUGAAGAGGGAAACAACCCAGACCGCCAGCUAAGGUCCCAAAGUCAUGGUUAAGUGGGAAACGAUGUGGGAAGGCACAGACAGCCAGGAUGUUGGCUUAGAAGCAGCCAUCAUUUAAAGAAAGCGUAAUAGCUCACUGGUCGAGUCGGCCUGCGCGGAAGAUGUAACGGGGCUAAACCAUGCACCGAAGCUGCGGCAGCGACACUAUGUGUUGUUGGGUAGGGGAGCGUUCUGUAAGCCUGCGAAGGUGACCUGUGAGGGUUGCUGGAGGUAUCAGAAGUGCGAAUGCUGACAUAAGUAACGAUAAAGCGGGUGAAAAGCCCGCUCGCCGGAAGACCAAGGGUUCCUGUCCAACGUUAAUCGGGGCAGGGUGAGUCGACCCCUAAGGCGAGGCCGAAAGGCGUAGUCGAUGGGAAACAGGUUAAUAUUCCUGUACUUGGUGUUACUGCGAAGGGGGGACGGAGAAGGCUAUGUUAGCCGGGCGACGGUUGUCCCGGUUUAAGCAUGUAGGCUGGUUAUCCAGGCAAAUCCGGAUAAUCAAGGCUGAGGUGUGAUGACGAGGCACUACGGUGCUGAAGUAACAAAUGCCCUGCUUCCAGGAAAAGCCUCUAAGCAUCAGGUAACACGAAAUCGUACCCCAAACCGACACAGGUGGUCAGGUAGAGAAUACCAAGGCGCUUGAGAGAACUCGGGUGAAGGAACUAGGCAAAAUGGUGCCGUAACUUCGGGAGAAGGCACGCUGGUGUGUAGGUGAAGUCCCUGCGGAUGGAGCUGAGACCAGUCGAAGAUACCAGCUGGCUGCAACUGUUUAUUAAAAACACAGCACUGUGCAAACACGAAAGUGGACGUAUACGGUGUGACGCCUGCCCGGUGCCGGAAGGUUAAUUGAUGGGGUUAUCCGUAAGGAGAAGCUCUUGAUCGAAGCCCCGGUAAACGGCGGCCGUAACUAUAACGGUCCUAAGGUAGCGAAAUUCCUUGUCGGGUAAGUUCCGACCUGCACGAAUGGCGUAAUGAUGGCCAGGCUGUCUCCACCCGAGACUCAGUGAAAUUGAACUCGCUGUGAAGAUGCAGUGUACCCGCGGCAAGACGGAAAGACCCCGUGAACCUUUACUAUAGCUUGACACUGAACAUUGAGCCUUGAUGUGUAGGAUAGGUGGGAGGCUUUGAAGCGUGGACGCCAGUCUGCGUGGAGCCAACCUUGAAAUACCACCCUUUAAUGUUUGAUGUUCUAACGUUGGCCCCUUAUCGGGGUUGCGGACAGUGUCUGGUGGGUAGUUUGACUGGGGCGGUCUCCUCCCAAAGCGUAACGGAGGAGCACGAAGGUUAGCUAAUCCUGGUCGGACAUCAGGAGGUUAGUGCAAUGGCAUAAGCUAGCUUGACUGCGAGCGUGACGGCGCGAGCAGGUGCGAAAGCAGGUCAUAGUGAUCCGGUGGUUCUGAAUGGAAGGGCCAUCGCUCAACGGAUAAAAGGUACUCCGGGGAUAACAGGCUGAUACCGCCCAAGAGUUCAUAUCGACGGCGGUGUUUGGCACCUCGAUGUCGGCUCAUCACAUCCUGGGGCUGAAGUAGGUCCCAAGGGUAUGGCUGUUCGCCAUUUAAAGUGGUACGCGAGCUGGGUUUAGAACGUCGUGAGACAGUUCGGUCCCUAUCUGCCGUGGGCGCUGGAGAAUUGAGGGGGGCUGCUCCUAGUACGAGAGGACCGGAGUGGACGCAUCACUGGUGUUCGGGUUGUCAUGCCAAUGGCACUGCCCGGUAGCUAAAUGCGGAAGAGAUAAGUGCUGAAAGCAUCUAAGCACGAAACUUGCCCCGAGAUGAGUUCUCCCUGAGACUUUAAGUCUCCUGAAGGAACGUUAAAGACGAUGACGUUGAUAGGCCGGGUGUGUAAGCGCAGCGAUGCGUUGAGCUAACCGGUACUAAUGAACCGUGAGGCUUAACCUUACAACGCCGAAG